UUAUAGCCCUGAUCGGAGCGGCAUCCCGGUUUUAGCACUGGUAUUUAUUGUUUUCUUGUGUGCUAGCUUGUUUCACAGGUUUCACCGGGAUAAAGCGAAGAGCAGGAGUAACG
rnacentral:sRNA from 1 species